ACGGAAGGCAGCAGUGGGGAAUAUUGCACAAUGGGGGAAACCCUGAUGCAGCGACGCCGCGUGAGUGAUGAAGUAUUUCGGUAUGUAAAGCUCUAUCAGCAGGGAAGAUAAUGACGGUACCUGACUAAGAAGCACCGGCUAAAUACGUGCCAGCAGCCGCGGUAGUACGUAUGGUGCAAGCGUUAUCCGGAUUUACUGGGUGUGAAGGGUGCGUAGGUGGCAUGCAAGUCUGAAGUGAAAGCUCGGGGCUCAACCCCGGAAUUGCUUUGGAAACUGUCAAGCUAGAGUGCAGGAGAGGAAAGCGGAAUUCCUAGUGUAGCGGUGAAAUGCGUAGAUAUUAGGAGGAACACCAGUGGCGAAGGCGGCUUUCUGGACUGUAACUGACACUGAGGCACGAAAGCGUGGGGAGCAAACAGGAUUAGAUACCCUGGUA
rnacentral:rRNA from 1 species